AAUAAAUUUUUUAUGGUUUGUGAAUUUUAUUAUAAGUUUAUUUUACAUAUAAAUUUUAGUGUUAAAUUUAAAUUAUUUUAAUAAUAAUUUAUUUAAUUAAGUAGUAAUUAAUAUUAAAUAUUUAAGAAAUUAAGAUUUAGUAAUAUUUUAAUUAAUAACAAAUUUUGUGCCAGCAGUUGCGGUUAUACAAAAGUUAAAUUAAAAUUUAUUAGUAAUUAAUAUAUAAAUUGAAUUUAUAAGGAAAUUUUAAAUUAUUAAGUGAAAUUUUAAUUUAAUAUAAAUUAUAUUAAUAUUUAUGAUUUAAUAAAUUUUAUAAAAGACUAGGAUUAGAUACCCUAUUAUUAAAAAUUAAAUUUAUAAUACUAAAAUAGUAAAUAAUUAUUUAUUGAAACUUAAAUAAUUUGGCGGUAUUUUAGUUCAUUUAGAGGAAUCUGUUUAAUAAUUGAUAAUCCACGAAUAAAUUUACUUAAUUUAUAAUUUUGUAUAUCGUUGUUAAAAAAAUAUUUUUUAAUAAAAUUAAUAUUUAAAAAUUUUUAUAUAAAAUUAAAUCAGAUCAAGAUGCAGAUUAUAAUUAAGAAUAUAAUGGAUUACAAUAAAUUUAUUUAAAUGAAUUUUAUUUUGUAAAAAUAAAUGAAGGUGGAUUUAAAUGUAAUUUUAAUUAAUUUAUUAAAAUGAUUAAAAAUUAAAAUAUGUACAUAUUGCCCGUCGCUUUCAUAUGAUAAUAAGUUGGAAUAAGUCGUAACAAAGUAGAGGUACUGGAAAGUGUUUCUAGUAAGAA
rnacentral:ncRNA from 1 species